AGAUCCGGGCCAAGUCAGAGUACUCCAAACUGUCUGCGACCUGGAGACAAUUACAGCGAUGGCCCUCCUCAACAAUCGGGCCAGCAGUUGAGUGUCAAAAUGCUGUCCCUUUUGGUCGCCCUGGAAACAAACCUGCUGGAACAGGAAAGCGCAUCCUUGACCGGAAAAAAGUUGAAGGAAUCCUAACGUAUGUCCUGAGAUGCGGUACCCUUCCUGAUUGGGACAAUAUUGAGGAGGCCAAGCUCAAGAAAGCUUUGGUAAACAAAUGUCGGGCCAGAGCAGGUUUUAAGUAGGCCCUUGUAACUGCCAAGUUCAUUCUGGGGUAGGAUGUUUCCUUUGUAAACAUGUGUAACCUAUUUUUAUGGGCAUGCCUCUUAAUGAUGUUAAGUUCCUGUUAUAGGCUGUUUUGCAGUGUAUGCUUGGAGCUCUUGUUUUGAAGGCGCCUAGAGCGGAAGUGAUGUCAUGUGUUGUGAAGGGGAGGUUUUUGAGAAGAAGAAAAAUAAAGUGGUCCUCGUGUGAACUGGAGCCUCCGUGUUUGUUAUUUUGUAGUUUGAUACAGUCUAGGCGAUAUUUAUAAACCCUCGGUUACAUUGGUGGCAGCGGUGGGAUUUUCGGUCCCGCUAAAGAAAGACGUUUAUUAAUGCAAAGUUCU